rnacentral:rRNA from 1 species
UGCGUAGGCGGUUGGGUAAGUCAGAGGUGAAAUUCCGGGGCUCAACCUCGGAACUGCCUUUGAUACUGCCUGACUAGAGUACUGGAGAGGAGACUGGAAUUCACGGUGUAGCAGUGAAAUGCGUAGAUAUCGUGAGGAAGACCAGUGGCGAAGGCGAGUCUCUGGACAGUUACUGACGCUGAGGCACGAAGGCGUAGGGGAGACAAACG